rnacentral:snRNA from 1 species
UUACCACUCUGGCCUUUUGGCUUAGAUCAAGUGUAGUAUCUGUUCUUAAUAGUUUAACCACUAUUAUGGAGGCACUGCCUCCAUUAUUUGGUUAUCUAAUUUUUGCCGCCCCAGUUCUUCGGGCUCUGCUUGCAACCUGAGGACGCGAUGACCUUGCUACUGCACUACUGGCUUGUGUCGUCGGGGGAUC